rnacentral:ribozyme from 1 species
AAGAAAGAACAAAAACAGGAGGACCGCCAAAGAAGGGAGUUGUCUCUGUGGGGUAGUGGGAUAGACUCUGUAUUCACUUUGCUUUUUUUAUUUUGUUUUGUUUUGAUGUUUUUGCCUAUUUUUCAAAAGUGAGCGAUAUUUAAAUUGAGGGCAUUGAGGGAACUGUUGUAGCAUUGCUGCAGUAAAAGUGUU